GACGGAGGAUGCAAGCGUUAUCCGGAAUGAUUGGGCGUAAAGCGUCCGCAGGUGGCAGUUCAAGUCUGCUGUCAAAGACCGGGGCUUAACCUCGGAAAGGCAGUGGAAACUGAACAGCUAGAGUAUGGUAGGGGCAGAGGGAAUUCCUGGUGUAGCGGUGGAAUGCGUAGAGAUCCGGAAGAACACCGGUGGCGAAGGCGGUCUGCUGGGCAGUUACUGACGCUGAGGCACGAAGGCCAGGGGAGCAAACGGG
rnacentral:rRNA from 1 species